rnacentral:rRNA from 1 species
CAGUAGCCGCGGGAAAACAGAGGGUGCGAGCGUUAAUCGGAUUUACUGGGCGUAAAGCGUGCGUAGGCGGCUUUUUAAGUCGGAUGUGAAAUCCCUGAGCUUAACUUAGGAAUUGCAUUCGAUACUGGGAAGCUAGAGUAUGGGAGAGGAUGGUAGAAUUCCAGGUGUAGCGGUGAAAUGCGUAGAGAUCUGGAGGAAUACCGAUGGCGAAGGCAGCCAUCUGGCCUAAUACUGACGCUGAGGUACGAAAGCAUGGGGAGCAAACAGGAUUAGAUACCCGCGUAGUCCCUGUCUCUUAUAC